UACGUAGGCAGCAAGCGUUGUUCGGAGUUACUGGGCGUAAAGGGUGCGUAGGCGGCUUUUUAAGUUUGGUGUGAAAUCUCCCGGCUCAACUGGGAGGGUGCGCCGAAUACUGAGAGGCUAGAGUGUGGGAGAGGAAAGUGGAAUUCCUGGUGUAGCGGUGAAAUGCGUAGAUAUCAGGAGGAACGCCGGUGGUGUAAACGGCUUUCUGGACCAUAACUGACGCUGAGGCACGAAAGCGUGGGUAGCAAACAGG
rnacentral:rRNA from 1 species